UACGGGGGAGCAAGCGUUGUUCGGAUUUACUGGGCGUAAAGGGCGCGUAGGCGGCCACCGCAAGUCGGUUGUGAAAUCUCCGGGCUUAACCCGGAAAGGUCAACCGAUACUGCGCGGCUAGAGUGCAGAAGGGGCAACUGGAAUUCUCGGUGUAGCGGUGAAAUGCGUAGAUAUCGAGAGGAACACCUGCGGCGAAGGCGGGUAGCUGGGCCGACACUGACGCUGAUGCGCGAAAGCCAGGGGAGCGAACGGG
rnacentral:rRNA from 1 species